rnacentral:rRNA from 1 species
AACGAACGCUGGCGGCAGGCCUAACACAUGCAAGUCGAACGGACGUAGCAAUACGUUAGUGGCGCACGGGAGAGUAACGCGUGGGAACCUACCUUUUGGUUCGGGAUAGCAUCGGGAAACUGGUGCUAAUACCGGAUAAGCCCUUCGGGGGAAAGAUUUAUUGCCGAAAGAUGGGCCCGCGUUGGAUUAGCUAGUUGGUGAGGUAAUGGCUCACCAAGGCAACGAUCCAUAGCUGGUCUGAGAGGAUGAUCAGCCUCACUGGGACUGAGACACGGCCCAGACUCCUACGGGAGGCAGCAGUGGGGAAUAUUGGACAAUGGGGGAAACCCUGAUCCAGCCAUGCCGCGUGAAUGAUGAAGGCCUUCGGGUUGUAAAGUUCUUUUGGUGGGGACGAUGAUGACGGUACCCACAGAAUAAGCUCCGGCUAACUUCGUGCCAGCCGCCGCAGUAA